GAUGAACGCUGGCGGCGUGCCUAAUACAUGCAAGUCGAGCGAACGGACGAGAAGCUUGCUUCUCUGAUGUUAGCGGCGGACGGGUGAGUAACACGUGGAUAACCUACCUAUAAGACUGGGAUAACUUCGGGAAACCGGAGCUAAUACCGGAUAAUAUUUUGAACCGCAUGGUUCAAAAGUGAAAGACGGUCUUGCUGUCACUUAUAGAUGGAUCCGCGCUGCAUUAGCUAGUUGGUAAGGUAACGGCUUACCAAGGCAACGAUGCAUAGCCGACCUGAGAGGGUGAUCGGCCACACUGGAACUGAGACACGGUCCAGACUCCUACGGGAGGCAGCAGUAGGGAAUCUUCCGCAAUGGGCGAAAGCCUGACGGAGCAACGCCGCGUGAGUGAUGAAGGUCUUCGGAUCGUAAAACUCUGUUAUUAGGGAAGAACAUAUGUGUAAGUAACUGUGCACAUCUUGACGGUACCUAAUCAGAAAGCCACGGCUAACUACGUGCCAGCAGCCGCGGUAAUACGUAGGUGGCAAGCGUUAUCCGGAAUUAUUGGGCGUAAAGCGCGCGUAGGCGGUUUUUUAAGUCUGAUGUGAAAGCCCACGGCUCAACGGUGGAGGGUCAUUGGAAACUGGAAGACUUGAGUGCAGAAGAGGAAAGUGGAAUUCCAUGUGUAGCGGUGAAAUGCGCAGAGAUAUGGAGGAACACCAGUGGCGAAGGCGACUUUCUGGUCUGUAACUGACGCUGAUGUGCGAAAGCGUGGGGAUCAAACAGGAUUAGAUACCCUGGUAGUCCACGCCGUAAACGAUGAGUGCUAAGUGUUAGGGGGUUUCCGCCCCUUAGUGCUGCAGCUAACGCAUUAAGCACUCCGCCUGGGGAGUACGACCGCAAGGUUGAAACUCAAAGGAAUUGACGGGGACCCGCACAAGCGGUGGAGCAUGUGGUUUAAUUCGAAGCAACGCGAAGAACCUUACCAAAUCUUGGCAUCCUUUGACAACUCUAGAGAUAGAGCUUUCCCCUUCGGGGGACAAAGUGACAGGUGGUGCAUGGUUGUCGUCAGCUCGUGUCGUGAGAUGUUGGGUUAAGUCCCGCAACGAGCGCAACCCUUAAGCUUAGUUGCCAUCAUUAAGUUGGGCACUCUAAGUUGACUGCCGGUGACAAACCGGAGGAAGGUGGGGAUGACGUCAAAUCAUCAUGCCCCUUAUGAUUUGGGCUACACACGUGCUACAAUGGACAAUACAAAGGGCAGCGAAACCGCGAGGUCAAGCAAAUCCCAUAAAGUUGUUCUCAGUUCGGAUUGUAGUCUGCAACUCGACUACAUGAAGCUGGAAUCGCUAGUAAUCGUAGAUCAGCAUGCUACGGUGAAUACGUUCCCGGGUCU
rnacentral:rRNA from 1 species